rnacentral:rRNA from 1 species
CGACGGGAGCUUGCUCCCUUAGGUCAGCGGCGGACGGGUGAGUAACACGUGGGUAACCUGCCUGUAAGACUGGGAUAACUCCGGGAAACCGGGGCUAAUACCGGAUGCUUGAUUGAACCGCAUGGUUCAAUCAUAAAAGGUGGCUUUUAGCUACCACUUGCAGAUGGACCCGCGGCGCAUUAGCUAGUUGGUGAGGUAACGGCUCACCAAGGCGACGAUGCGUAGCCGACCUGAGAGGGUGAUCGGCCACACUGGGACUGAGACACGGCCCAGACUCCUACGGGAGGCAGCAGUAGGGAAUCUUCCGCAAUGGACGAAAGUCUGACGGAGCAACGCCGCGUGAGUGAUGAAGGUUUUCGGAUCGUAAAACUCUGUUGUUAGGGAAGAACAAGUACCGUUCGAAUAGGGCGGUACCCUGACGGUACCUAACCAGAAAGCCACGGCUAACUACGUGCCAGCAGCCGCGGUAAUACGUAGGUGGCAAGCGUUGUCCGGAAUUAUUGGGCGUAAAGCGCGCGCAGGCGGUUUCUUAAGUCUGAUGUGAAAGCCCCCGGCUCAACCGGGGAGGGUCAUUGGAAACUGGGGAACUUGAGUGCAGAAGAGGAGAGUGGAAUUCCACGUGUAGCGGUGAAAUGCGUAGAGAUGUGGAGGAACACCAGUGGCGAAGGCGACUCUCUGGUCU